UCUUUGGUUAUCUAGCUGUAUGAGUUUUAAAUCCCUGUCAUAAAGCUAGAUAACCGAAAGU
ensembl:miRNA gmo-mir-9-7 gmo-mir-9-7